AUCGAGCUGAAGCAUAUUGCUACAAAAAUCUUCCUAUUUAACAACAUAUGCUGAGUUGGACGAGGCCAUGGAUACUGGCUUCAGACAAUUAAUGCAUGCUGACUUAAAGGAAGGUCACGUACAGCACUCAAAAACGUUUAUGCUGAGCUGAUAUAAAUUGAGCAUAAAAAAUGGCCAUGCUGUAACUUGUAUGUUAAUUAAGCCAUGCUGAUCAAAUCCUUACUAAACUCAGAUUAACAAAGUCAGCAUAUUAUAUUUAUAGCAUAGAAUUGGUAUGAAAAAAUCGGUCAUGCUGAGUACAGCCUGACAUCAUUGAAUCUUUAAUGCUGUCAUGCUGAUAUCUUGACCAUCCUGAGUUCAAAAUAGUCAGCAUUGAUACACAGGCUAUGCUGAGUGAGAAUUAACAUUACUGACUUAAUAAACCCCCAUAUGCUGAGCUCAGAUGGGAAACUAACACAUGCUGACUGAUUCUGGGCCAUGAGGUUGUUGACCAAUCCUUCCCCACUUAUAAAUUACUUGCAAUACUUAUAGGCUACUUUUGUGACUCUGUGUAGGCCUACAUUCCAUAAUACUCAACCUAACCUCAAUCCUCUCUCUCUCUAUACCAACUGGAUUUAGACAUUAAAAUUCUUCCUUAUGAACUGUUCUUAUAAAUUACUUGCAAUACUUAUAGGCUACUUUUGUGAUUCUGUGUAGGCCUAUAUAGUCAUUCCAUAUUCAACCUAACCUCGAUCCUCUCUCUUUCUAUACCAACUGGAUUUAGCAAUUAAAAUUCUUCCUUUGGGGGUGUAAUUAAUUUGUAGGCCAAUCCUCACUCAAUCUGAUGCCUUGGAACUUGGAUACAUAGUCAGUAUUAAUAUAUCCGAGUGCUGUGUUGGGUAAUUAAUCACUUACUUGAUCCUGAUAAAUACUGUUUGGGGACAUCAUUAAUUCUUCUCGGUCAAUCCUUGUUCAUUGAUAUGCUCAGGAACUUGGAUUAUAAACAAGUCUGAACUUUCAACAGUAAAUACAUAGUAAAUUCUGACAGCACAGGACUUUUCCAAACAGUCAAAUUCCCUCUAUAUAAAUAGUUUGUGGGUGGCUGGGGAGCUAAUUCAUUCUCCUAGGUCAACCCUCCCUCUUUCAAUGUGAUGGUUUAGCCCCUUGAAUUUUUGCCGGUACUAAUUAUAAGCUUUCAAGUGUUAAAUAUAUAGCAAAUUCUGAAUACAAGUCCUUUGCAGAUGGCUAGACUCCCUCACUCAAUCCCUUCCUACACACAGUUCUCCUCACAUAAGAAUAGACUCAUUGUUAUUAAGUCAGUAAUAAGCAUCUAAGCAGAAUAAUGACCAAGAUAAGCUAUAGAUGAAAUUAAUAUAGAUAUAUGUAGACAGAACCUCACAAGUUAAGCUAUUUCCAGUUUCCAAGGGCUGAGUUAAGCUGGGAGUUAGGUUAGAUCCUCGCAUGAAUUUAAGCUAUUUCCAGUUUCCAAGGGCUGAGUUAGCUGGGAGUUAGGUUAGAUCCUCGCAUGAAUUUAAGCUAUUUCCAGUUUCCAAGGGCUGAGUUAAGCUGGGAGUUAGGUUAGAUCCUCACAUGAAUUUAAGCUAUUUCCAGUUUCCAAGGGCUGAGUUAAGCUGGGAGUUAGGUUAGAUCCUCACAUGAAUUUAAGCUAUUUCCAGUUUCCAAGGGCUGAGUUAAGCUGGGAGUUAGGUUAGAUCCUCACAUGAAUUUAAGCUAUUUCCAGUUUCCAAGGGCUGAGUUAAGCUGGGAGUUAGGUUAGAUCCUCACAUGAAUUUAAGCUAUUUGCAGUUUCCAAGGGCUGAGUUAAGCUGGGAGUUAGGUUAGAUCCUCGCAUGAAUUUAAGCUAUUUGCAGUUUCCAAGGGCUGAGUUAAGCUGGGAGUUAGGUUAGAUCCUCGCAUGAAUUUAAGCUAUUUGCAGUUUCCAAGGGCUGAGUGGCUGAGUGGCUGCAUCUGUUCUCCGGCUAUGAAGGAAAAAACACUUACUUUAAAAUGUUCACCAAUAAAAUAUAACUUACCCAGACCAAUGGGUGCCAAGUGGCUUAACCCGGUAGCAGCGAGGGGCCAAAUUUGUGGCUUUACUGUGUAGCAGCGACGGGCCAAAUUUGUGCCAUGAUUUAAACCCCCCAAAAUAGAUGAUACAUAAAAUUAUCACAAAUGCUGAUAUAUAUUAUUAUGAAAUGGUUUGCGUGAGUGAUGAUUUUUUCCCAUUUUUCUUGCUCAGAGGGACCAUUAAGAAACAUGAUCCCCGCUGCUACCGGGUUAAAACUACCCACAUGCUGUCCAGAAGACCACCUAUCAACCCGGACUCUAGAUUCUAGGAUUAAAGAUGCGCUCUGGGAGGGCAGCAUGAGCCAAUGCAAGAUGGCGCCACUAUAAACACUUGCCUGCGCCAGAACGGGCUGGGCCGACCAUCAGGCCCCACCGGGAAGAAGCCUUGGGCCGACCAUCAGGAUCCACCGGGAAGAAGCCUACCAGUGCAAUAGGCCAUGACGUAAAAAAAAUAAAACAUAUUUGACAAGGCUUUCAGUGGAGGUUUGGGCAUUUUCCGAGAUGCUUUUAUGAUCUGUAGAAAUGUGACCCUUCCUCUGUACCAUCAACCUAAAAAACACAUAUUUGACAAGGCUUUCAGAGGUGUUAUAUACAGGCAGGGGUGCUUUUAUGACCCGGUUGGAAUGUGACCCUUCCUCUGUACCAUCAACCUAAAAAACACAUAUUUGACAAGGCUUUCAGAGGUGUUAUAUACAGGCAGGGGUGCUUUUAUGACCCAGUUGGAAUGUGACCCUUCCUCUGUACCAUCAACCUCAAAACACACCCUUGAGAACCCAAUUACGGACCUUUUCUGCCUUGGAAUUAUACAAUCAACAACAGACAUACAGCUGAACAGUAAAAUAACACAAUAAAAAUUAAUACAUAAAUACAAGUCCUGAAAAUGUAGACUGUUAGAGUAGGCAAAUAUAUUAAUUGGUAGAUUAUUUUAUGAGGUAAGGCUUGGUAGAGGUUGCAUGUGCUUGGUAAGGGUUUCAUAUAGUAUAGUAUGUUUCCCGGGCGUCUGAUGUGCUUGGUAAUGCUUUUUAAAACGGUAGCAGCGACGGGUCAAAUUUGUGGCUUUACCGUGUAGCAGUGACGGGCCAAAUUUGUGGCUUUACCAUGUAGCGGCGACGGGCCAAAUUUGUGCCAUGAUAUAAACCCCCCAAAAUAGAUGAUACAUAAUGUGAUGACAAAUGCUUUGAUAUGUAUUAUGAAAUGGUUUGUGUGAGUGAUGAUUUUUUUCUCAUUUUUCUCGCUUAGAGGGACCAUUAAGAAACAUGACCCCCUACCACCACCACCACGUUCUUACGUUCAACCGUACUGCACGCAUGGGUGGGUAAAAGACACAUAUAUAUAACCGUACGUGUUUGAGGAUAAUCUCCUUCCAUAGUCAGGAUUCUCACAUACAGUCUUUUUUAAUUUUCAAUCUUUUAUUUUUUGAGGUACAAGCCUAACGGAGGUGCCCCCAUAUAGGCCUGAACCCCUCUCUGAUACCUGGCCUGUACUGCUGCUCUCAAAUGAUGUCAAACUAUUUUUUAAGGUGAAGGGAGACAGGUCUAGGGGGGAACGGAACCUGACGGAACCUCCCUCGCUAGACGCUGAUCCGACAGGCUUCAAGUUAGGGGUCACCCGAAGCUCUGGCCGGCAGCUUAGACUAUGGGUUAGGAUACUCCAGCCAGCAUUAGUAUGGGUUAGCAUGACAGCGGAAAUGGAAUGGGGUUAUGAAAAAUCCAUGUGUUGUUACGAAAGCCGGAGAGAAUUGUCAUACGCAAGCAGGAGUAGUUCUCAUGCGAAAUUUAAGCCGUAAGUUGCCGGAGUGUUCAUGCAAAGCCGUGCGAUUAGUUAUGAAGGAAGGGCGAAGAGAACCAUCACACGAAAACUACAAGAGGCGUUAUACAAAAUCCAUGCGGGUUAAGCGAGCAGGAGUUAGUACACAGAAGCCACAGCAGACGCAGAGCGAGGUGUUACGAACAGCAGAAGCAGAGUGAGUUGUAAAAGAGAGCAUGCAGAUGUUACACCAGUCCCAGGAGUGCAGGAGUUGAUACCCGCAAUGCAAUGCAAUGCAAGAUGGCGCCACUAUAAACACUCGCCUGCGCCAGAACGGGCUGGGCCGACCAUCAGGAACUACCGGAAAGAAGUCUUGGACCGACCAUCAGGAUCCACCUGGAAGAAGCCUACCGGCGCAAUAGGCUGCAAUGUAAAAAAAAAAAAAAAAAAAAAGCAGAGGUUGUCCUUGGUAGCUGAAAUUAAAAGGUUUUGUUAAUACUCAGAGUACCAGAACCAGUAAUUGUACUCAGACUAAUUGCAGUAGAGGUUGCUGAUUAAGUCACACCACUACGGUAACACUUAUGAAAUCACCCUUACAUUAGUUAGCCCCCACAGGACGUUACACAUACUUAUAAAUGUAUAGCCUUCAUACAGUACACUUAAGGAUUUCACAGUAUUUUUUUUUCAAGGGCAAAAACGUGUAGAAAAAUAAAGCCCACUACUUGCUGCUCCCACUUAAAUACUUAUAUAUAUAUAUAUAUGUAACCUUUAUACAUUACACUUAAAUGAUUCCAAUCACUACACACUUAUUAGAGAACCCGGUACACACUUUAAUAUAUAACUUAAUACCUUACACACUUACUUUACACUUAAAUAACGUAGGGAAACACUUACUUAGAAUUAUAUACCCCAAAACCGAAGAUUUUAUAAGUAUAGCAAUACCAAACACCUUAUAACUAAAACCCCAUUUAAAUACAUACAAAUUAUAUUACAGCUUAAAUAUGUAACCCUGUAAACAUGCAUAGAAAUUAUUAGUAGAUAUAUUUUAAAUUCAAUACUUUACAUAAUACAGAUCAUUUAAAUAUUUUCCUUGGCACAUAUACUUCUGCCUGUAUUUAUAAGUUGCCUCCUCCUCCUCCUCCUCCUACUCCUCCUUCUUCUUCCUCCUUCUCCUCCUUCUUCUUCCUCCUCCUCCUCCUCUUUCUCCUUCUUCUUCCUCCUACUCC